rnacentral:rRNA from 1 species
CUGCUGCCUCCCGUAGGAGUUUGGGCCGUGUCUCAGUCCCAAUGUGGCCGGUCACCCUCUCAGGUCGGCUACUGAUCGUCGCCUUGGUGGGCUGUUAUCUCACCAACUAGCUAAUCAGAUGCGGGCCCAUCCUGCACCGAAUAAAUCCUUUCUUUCCAGAAGAUGCCUCCCAGGAACCGUAUGCGGUAUUAGUCAUCGUUUCCAAUGAUUAUUCCCCAGUGCAGGGCAGGUUGCCCACACGUUACU